UCCCUGGUGGCUCAGUGGUAAAGAAUCUGCCUGCCAAUCAGGAGACUCAGAUUCGAUUCCUGGGUUGGGAA
rfam:TPA: Bos taurus chromosome 3, whole genome shotgun sequence.